rnacentral:rRNA from 1 species
UACGAAGGGGGCUGGCGUUGUUCGGACUUACUGGGCGUAAAGCGCGCGCAGGUGGUCAUUCAAGUCAGAGGUGAAAGCCCAGGGCUCAACCCUGGAACGGCCUUUGAGACUAGAGGACUUGGGUACGGGAGAGGUGAGUGGAAUUCCGAGUGUAGAGGUGAAAGUCGUAGAUAUUCGGAAGAACACCAGUGGCGAAGGCGGCUCACUGGCCCGUUACCGACACUCAGGCGCGACAGCGUGGGAAGCAAACAGG